GUAAAAAUUUACAGCAUAUUUUGGCAAUUAUUAUUUUUAAUUAAUAAAUCCCCCGAGAAAUUUUAUUAGUUAUCUCAUGCUUGUACUUAUAACGAAAUAGUUGGUUUUAAUCUCUGAAUCUUUAAACAAGAAAAUAAAUAGCAUCUGCGUACUCUCAUCUCGCCUUGCUUAAAUUCAUUUUCUCUUCUUGUCGUUCUGGGCACUUUUUGAAGUGUAACAUCAUUCACAGUAGGUUCUUUGCCUUGUAGAGGCAGAAGCAUAUCGACCUGGCCCCGGUAUUCAGUUGACUCAUACUGUCAAACCACACUGCCUAUUCAACCAUUAACAACCAGGGUCUGCUGUUGUGCUCAGGAAGAUUAUGCGGAAUCCAGAUUGCUCGUUCUGAUGAAGGAAAUGAUCAGUGAGACCAUUGAUGAAUAUUGACCUAUGGAUUAAGCUGGUGUGGAGCUUACAAAUUUACCAAUGGAGUCUUUUAUCACAGAAAAAUGUUCGGUGCGAAUCUUUUGAAGAAGCUGUUGCAGCUGGUGUUCCUAUGACAAACCUUUACUAUAUAAAAGAGCCCCCAAUGUUUGUGUAUAAAGGACCUAAAGGUACUUGGUUAAUACGCAAACUACGAAAGAGUUCGGGUUAGUGGUGUUUGGCCAAAUAACAAGGGGGAGUACGUGGUGGCUAUAAACCGACCUUGCGAAAUGGAACGCGAUCAGCACUUUGCCUCAGCGCUCGAAAUGUCCGGUUUUGCACAUGUUUGUCACUGUGCGAAGAUCGAGUACAAUAGAAAUGCAACAGCUAAAGAUACUUCAAAAAUUCUUCCUGGAUUUGCAACCGGGGAAACCGUGUGGCUUGAUGGAAGAUGGCACAAUACUAAACUUCAGCACAUUGAUGCAAAUGUCUGUGUUCCUGGGCCGUGUUGUUCGCCGGCGAUUGAAAGGGCAAAUAUAUCGACUUACACCCUGAGCGACGACGAAUCAUUUGCAACAACUGGUUCCACAGUGACCCUGUUGUCCACAAUUUUAUCGUCAGUAACGGCGACAACGCUCCAACAAGUGACCAGUGAUGUGCGAGAACCGGGUACGGAUUCGUCUCCGACUACAGAAGAGUAUGACGAUGAACCACUCAAUUUUUUACUAGUAUUCCCUCAACCAUAUCAACGACUAUUCCAGCCGGACACGGUUAUUCUUCUAUAAUCAGCUCCGUCAUGACUUUCCCGCUCCGCCAAAUAAGCGACCACAAUGAACCCUUGACGACACUAGUUACGGUGAUCAAUGCAACCAACAACAGUAACACAACUUUGGUAGUUCUUCUCAACGUUACCACUGGUCCCAGUGAUGCUGCAUCAAUCAGCGUAACCAAUAAUAGUUUGGCCGAUGGUGACCCUGCAGUUUUUAAUUUACGUAAUAAGGAAACAACGGGUUAUAUCCAAAGGAUUGUCACAACAGUUAAGCGGAAAUUACCGCCUUGGCAGACUGAUGAGCCGCUGCGGGAUCAUGAAGUUCCGAUCACCGUUUCGCUUCUUCUUGUAACCACUCCCAACAUACCAGCUGCCAACAGUUCGAAUGUAUUGUCUCCCACGCCUCCGGCGACAUUUGUGAGAGACGCUGAGAAACCUGAUACGGGAUCGGUGGCUGCGGGCGCCAGUGCGGUUACCAAUAAACAAACUGCUGUGACAGACAACGUCAGACAUUUGGCCGAAACUCCUCCCCCACCAGAAACAUCCGGCAAUGGCAUGCUGAUUGGAAUUAUCGUGGCUGUAGCUUUACUCUUUCUCUUUUGCAUCAUUUUCGCCAUUUGGAGGAAGAAGCGCAAUGGUUGAUGACUUAAAAUGCAGUUUCUGCUAGGCAGUGAAUUUCCACUUUUCUGUUUGUUUGUUAGUGCUAUGAUUUUUGUUAUGUGUUCACUUUGCUAAAUCUUGUCGUUGCGUUAUUGUUCAUAUCGUCCGGUCGGGUUCUGUAAAAUGUCAGAUCAUUCUUUGAAGCAAACUAGCUUCCGUGAUUGCUGCGAGUGCUUCAGGGUUUCUGUUGUCUGUUGGUAUCAUAAAUUUGAUACUUACAUCAAG